CACCAUGUUGUGAUUUUUUCUGAGGACCUCAAGCUGAUGAUUUGCGUUUUGGCUUGGUUUGGCUUGGUUUAGUUUGUUUUUUGUCCUUGAGAUGUCAAAGAUUCUGUUCCAGUUUCUCUUGAAAUCAUAAAGGAACCUCCCAUCUCUAUGUUUCAGAUCUGCUUGAGGCUUUAUUGACAGAAUGAAUAGUUUUGGCAUAACCAGGCAUGGACUUAAACCAGCACUGCCAGAUGCAAUCAAACUUCUCAGCAAGCAUGAUUUUCCCUACCUGAAGACUAAAUCAGUGCUGUGUGAAUCUGUUAUCUUCCAUCUCACUGCUCAAAACCGGAUCUGGGCUGACAGCAGGAACACUGAGACAGCUUGCAAUCACCAUGGAACUUCUCCCAGAUGUGAAGGCUCAUGUGCUCCUGUCCUGAAUUACACCCCAGCCUAUUGAGUGAGAAACCCAGGAUUCUCAGCAUCUUGGUGGGUAAU
rnacentral:lncRNA from 1 species